ACUCCGACAGCCAGCUUCCGGGACGCGAAGCCAGACAGCGAGCGCUUUCGUAAAUGCGUCACUCUCUCGCUGUCAGAGCCAGAGUAAAUGGGCAGCGAGUCGCUCCGUGGGUGUUUCCACUCCGUGGGUGUUUCCCGGUAGCGGUCAUUCAAUCCAAACUGUAUUCUUCUUCACCUCUCCGGGCACGAGAAUAAACAGUUCUGCCGGAGUUCUGCAGUGUCUUCUUAGUAACAAAUAGGGUUUUCAGGAACGAGUUUAUUAUUAGUCGUAGUAGUGGUUAUGAUGUUUACAGUUUACUUAUUCAUUGCGUUUUUUGAUUGCAUAUUAACAAGUAAGCAUUUUUAGUUAUAUUUGAGAAAAAUUGCCGCAAACUGAACAGGACUGAUAGAAACGCUAUUGGCCUUCUUCAGAACAAGACGUAUUUUUUGUAUAAACUGCGACAUCUAGAGGGACAUCCAUCUAGUACUCGUAGUACUGUACUCUGUAUUGCAUAACUCUGAAAGUACUUUUCAGGUUUGUUCCUCGCAAAGCCCGUUACGCAUUCCCCGUUUGUUCUCCAUGCAGCUGGAGAGCCAGAACGGCACCGUGCUUUGUUUUCCACUGUCGUGCCCUUUUCAACACUUCAAACCUUCAGUUUCAGCUUCGCAGUGUCUGUUGUGAACUCUGUUAAAUUACUUAUUUUUAAAUACAAAUAUAAACGUUUUUUUCUGGGUUAAAACUAAUUGCUCUAUUGUAAAUGCAGGGCUGUAAGUAAUUAUUGGGGACAUAAAUAAAAUCGUGGCUAAGAGCAAAGGUGCUAAAGGCGCCUCCGAUCCACAUAUUUGGAAACUGAUAGCGGUGCCUAAGUGCAUGCAAUAUAUCAUAUGAAAGCUCUUGUUGAGAUGUACCCAGUACCAACAGGACCUAACUAAAAUCACAAACUGCACUGAAUAAAGAGGGCUUAAGUGUUCCCACGGCCUGCUAGCACUGAGUAUUGCAUUGUGGGAUGGAUCAUGUGACCGUAGAUAGGCCAAGAUGGCUGAAAAGAGAAGUCAAUAAAAGUAUUGUGUAAAACAAAAUCUAUGUGCAAAGGAUAUUUUACUGAGUUUAAUGAAGGAUCAGACAAAGAAUCCACUUCAGAAUUGGACAAUGGAAACUGGAAAAGCUGCAGUCUGUGAAAACAGGAUGCCUUAUCUCAAGAGGCAGUUCCUCCAAUGUUUUAGCCUCAUUAUUGCUGCAGAAGCCGUAUCCUGGAGACCAGCCUGGCACAGAACAGAGUGCUGCAGAUCAAAGCAUUCUUCUUGACCGCCUUCAGAAGUAUGUCGGAAU